rnacentral:rRNA from 1 species
ACUCCUGCGGGAGGCAGCAGUGGGGAAUUUUGGACAAUGGGCGAAAGCCUGAUCCAGCAAUGCCGCGUGAGUGAAGAAGGCCUUCGGGUUGUAAAGCUCUUUUGUCAGGGAAGAAACGGUGAGAGCUAAUAUCUUUUGCUAAUGACGGUACCUGAAGAAUAAGCACCGGCUAACUACGUGCCAGCAGCCGCGGUAAUACGUAGGGUGCAAGCGUUAAUCGGAAUUACUGGGCGUAAAGCGUGCGCAGGCGGUUUUGUAAGUCUGAUGUGAAAUCCCCGGGCUCAACCUGGGAAUUGCAUUGGAGACUGCAAGGCUAGAAUCUGGCAGAGGGGGGUAGAAUUCCACGUGUAGCAGUGAAAUGCGUAGAUAUGUGGAGGAACACCGAUGGCGAAGGCAGCCCCCUGGGUCAAGAUUGACGCUCAUGCACGAAAGCGUGGGGAGCAAACAGGAUUAGAUACCCUUGUAGUCCC